UGGAGAGGCACCGUGUGGGCACCAAGUGCAGACGCCACCUGUGAGUGACAAAGGGGCGUCAGGAGAGCAGGGCUGGGGUCAUGGGCGCCCUUGGCUCUGAGCAGCAGCCAACGCCGGCAUCUGCGCCAACCUCACUUCUGUCCCUUCAUCCGCCAGAGGCGGAGAGAACAACGGCAUUGAGAGCAAGACGAGGAAAGUUGAGGAGCUGAUGGCAGAGCCCCGCGAGGGACGCUGCCUACCUCUUCGUGAUAAGAAGAAGGGGGAUGGAAAGAAGGCAGGCGGCCCUGGUGUCCCGGGAAGACCGGGCAGGUAUCGGGUGGAGGCCAUGGGGAGCUGUGUCAGAAGCAGCUGGCCACUCAGACUUCAUUUUGAAGCUGGAAGAUGGACCUUGGAGAGUCCUCAGUGCUCGUGGCGAGGGCACAAUUCCCUGAGCAGAGGCCAAGAAGAUGACCACCUUUGA
rnacentral:lncRNA from 1 species